GGGACAACAGUUGGAAACGACUGCUAAUACCGCAUAAGCCCACGGGUCGGCAUCGACCAGGGGGAAAAGGAGCAAUCCGCUUUGAGAUGGCCUCGCGUCCGAUUAGCUAGUUGGUGAGGUAACGGCCCACCAAGGCAACGAUCGGUAGCCGGACUGAGAGGUUGAACGGCCACAUUGGGACUGAGACACGGCCCAGACUCCUACGGGAGGCAGCAGUGGGGAAUAUUGCACAAUGGGGGAAACCCUGAUGCAGCGACGCCGCGUGGAGGAAGAAGGUCUUCGGAUUGUAAACUCCUGUUGUUGAGGAAGAUAAUGACGGUACUCAACAAGGAAGUGACGGCUAACUACGUGCCAGCAGCCGCGGUAAAACGUAGGUCACAAGCGUUGUCCGGAAUUACUGGGUGUAAAGGGAGCGCAGGCGGGAAGACAAGUUGGAAGUGAAAUCCAUGGGCUCAACCCAUGAACUGCUUUCAAAACUGUUUUUCUUGAGUAGUGCAGAGGUAGGCGGAAUUCCCGGUGUAGCGGUGGAAUGCGUAGAUAUCGGGAGGAACACCAGUGGCGAAGGCGGCCUACUGGGCACCAACUGACGCUGAGGCUCGAAAGUGUGGGUAGCAAACAGGAUUAGAUACCCUGGUAGUCCACACCGUAAACGAUGAUUACUAGGUGUUGGAGGAUUGACCCCUUCAGUGCCGCAG
rnacentral:rRNA from 1 species